CUGAUUAUUGAAAGGUGCUUGCAUCUUGAUUUAAUUUUGAACGAGUGGCGGACGGGUGAGUAACACGUGGGUAACCUGCCCUUAAGUGGGGGAUAACAUUUGGAAACAGAUGCUAAUACCGCAUAAAUCCAAGAACCGCAUGGUUCUUGGCUGAAAGAUGGCGUAAGCUAUCGCUUUUGGAUGGACCCGCGGCGUAUUAGCUAGUUGGUGAGGUAACGGCUCACCAAGGCAAUGAUACGUAGCCGAACUGAGAGGUUGAUCGGCCACAUUGGGACUGAGACACGGCCCAAACUCCUACGGGAGGCAGCAGUAGGGAAUCUUCCACAAUGGACGCAAGUCUGAUGGAGCAACGCCGCGUGAGUGAAGAAGGCUUUCGGGUCGUAAAACUCUGUUGUUGGAGAAGAAUGGUCGGCAGAGUAACUGUUGUCGGCGUGACGGUAUCCAACCAGAAAGCCACGGCUAACUACGUGCCAGCAGCCGCGGUAAUACGUAGGUGGCAAGCGUUAUCCGGAUUUAUUGGGCGUAAAGCGAGCGCAGGCGGUUUUUUAAGUCUGAUGUGAAAGCCCUCGGCUUAACCGAGGAAGUGCAUCGGAAACUGGGAAACUUGAGUGCAGAAGAGGACAGUGGAACUCCAUGUGUAGCGGUGAAAUGCGUAGAUAUAUGGAAGAACACCAGUGGCGAAGGCGGCUGUCUGGUCUGUAACUGACGCUGAGGCUCGAAAGCAUGGGUAGCGAACAGGAUUAGAUACCCUGGUAGUCCAUGCCGUAAACGAUGAAUGCUAGGUGUUGGAGGGUUUCCGCCCUUCAGUGCCGCAGCUAACGCAUUAAGCAUUCCGCCUGGGGAGUACGACCGCAAGGUUGAAACUC
rnacentral:rRNA from 1 species